GACGAACGCUGGCGGCGUGCUUAACACAUGCAAGUCGAACGGAAAGGCCCUGCUUUUGUGGGGUGCUCGAGUGGCGAACGGGUGAGUAACACGUGAGUAACCUGCCCUUGACUGUGGGAUAAUUUUAGGAAACUGGGGCUAAUACCGGAUAGGAGCUCCUGAUGCAUGGUGGGGGUUGGAAAGUUUCGGCGGUUGGGGAUGGACUCGCGAUGGAUCAGCUUGUUGGUGGGGUAGUGGCUUACCAAGGCUUUGACGGGUAGCCGGCCUGAGAGGGUGACCGGCCACAUUGGGACUGAGAUACGACCCAGACUCCUACGGGAGGCAGCAGUGGGGAAUAUUGCACAAUGGGCGGAAGCCUGAUGCAGCAACGCCGCGUGCGGGAUGACGGCCUUCGGGUUGUAAACCGCUUUCGCCUGUGACGAAGCGUGAGUGACGGUAAUGGGUAAAAAAGCACCGGCUAACUACGUG
rnacentral:rRNA from 1 species